UGUCUGUCUCAUGUUUCCUGUUUUAUUUUGAAGGAGUCGUGUGUUCUUUGUUCACUGUAUUUAGUUUAACUUCCCUUGUCCUGUCAUUAGGCUCAUGUCAGUCAGCUGUUCCUCCAUGUGUUCCCACUUCCCCUAAUCACCUCCUGUGUAUUUAAGUCCUCUGUUUUCAGUGUGUCAUUGUCACGUCGUCUGUUGUUCAUGCCAUGUUCUUUACACCAUGUUUCUAGGUUUCAUGUCCAGGUUUUUUCAUGUUGUUUAUUUAGUUCUCCCAGUUUAGGUUGAUGUUAGUUUACUUCAGUUUGCCUUUGCUGUUUCUUUGUACCUUUUUUACCGGCCUUAUUAAACGGCUCGCUUUUUGUUAACAUUCAAGUUUUGUUCCCUGUUCCUUGGAGUCUGCGUUUUGGGUCCUUCUUGUCAACUCAUACAGUCUGCCCCAGCCAGACUGUGACAACUGGAGCUUGCAGUGUGUAGGCAUGGAGUGCUGCUCAGUGCUCUAAGUAUGUACAGGGGUGAAAUUUUUGCUUAUCCCUUGUACCUGCAACAAAAGCUGGCCAAUAGACAUAUGACUUUUUUUUGUAUGGAUGUUACCUGCAAGUAUUGGCCAUAUCUUGAAAGAGUAAUAAAAAGCUGUCCAGAGCUCCAGCACCUUAUUAGCAUGAAGCCAUUUCUUUCAGUCUUUCAUGCUGAAGCCCACGAUUUCAAAUGUGAGGUGAAAUGGAGUGGAGCAUAUCAAGAUGGGGCUGGUUUGACUCUAGGGAAGGAGGUGGAGCAAUGUAAUGCCUUUUUGUCAAGGAUUGCAGUUACCACAAAACAUAUGUCCAAAGCAGGACGGAAGGACAUGCUAACUCUUAUGGCCAUGCGCUGGAAUCAACAAAAGCUAGACCAGUUGGCCACCUCUCUGACCCAUCGAUAUCAGAAGGCCACAAAAGCUCUUCUAACCCAGCUUCAGAACCUGGAGUCCUUAAAAGUCCAGUUAGCAGUGACUGACAUUCAACUGGAUGAAUGGGUCAGUGAUGUAAAGGAUUGGGCAGAAGCAGCAACAACAAGCACAAGUGAUGUUGAUCCCUUAGUGAGCAGAAUUGAAGUGCUCGUAGUGAGCAUAAAGAGACGAUCCCAGUGUCUUUAUAAAGACACCGAUGGAAAUAAAGCCCGUGCCAAGAUUCAUCGCAAGAUCAGAGAAGAGAAAGGAAUCUUGACUUCUGCUGUGGAAAAAUACAACAGAAUGGUUCCAGACAAAGAAACUCUGUGCUUGGAAGAAAUUCUGUCUGGUGACACAAGCUGCCCGUGGCAGCGAGCACACAGCGACUCUGUCAGCCUUACAAUAAAGAGAAGGGCAUUCGAUAUCAUCAUGGCAAUAAGAAGACUCGAGGAGGAAAAGAAGAUUCUUGUUAGAGAGAUGGACCAUCACUGGAAAUCUCUUUCAAAAUAUGAUACCCUGAAAGAGCUGUCCGGCCUGUUUUCCAGUGAGAUAUUUAAAAGUUCGCAUUGUGGCCUAAGUGAGGAUGGUUUGAGAGGUCUACAGAGCAUCAUCCUCAGAAAACGACAUAAUGUGAAACAAAACAAGCUGCACGCAAGACAGUGUUACAUGCAAGUUUUGUCAGGAGCAAAGAACAUCAACCUUGAUCAUACUUCCAACGAUGACUUUUACAGUGACUCUGAAUUUUCUGAUUAAAUUCGGAAAUAAAUAUCUGUAAUAUAUCAGUUUGUCCUCAAAGUUAUAUCAACUUCUUACCUAGCAGGUUUAAUGCUGGGGGCCC